CUCCCAAUUCCUGAUGUACUUUGGAGAGCCCUUUUUCUUGAACAUUCACAAAGGCGAGACUUUAGCCAAAAUUAAAGUGCGUAUACAGAUGAAAUUGCAGGUUCCAGAUGAGAAGUUUGUUAAGGUAUCUUUUUUUUAAAACUUGCUUUUUAUUUGUUGGAGGGAUGUCUAGUGGAUGCCGAUCCAGAUAUUUUGGCUGUAUUAACUUAGUGUUAUCUGUCCACACGUCUUGUACCCCAUUGGUGG